rnacentral:rRNA from 1 species
UGAGUGUUAGGCAAAUCCGGCACUCUUAAGGUCAAGCUGUGAUGGGGAGAGGAAAUUGUUUCCUCGAGUCGUUGAUUUCACACUGCCGAGAAAAGUCUCUAGCUAGAUUUAUGGUGCCCGUACCGCACACCGACACAGGUAGUCAAGAUGAGAAUUCUAAGGUGAGCGAGCGAACUCUCGUUAAGGAACUCGGCAAAAUGACCCCGUAACUUCGGGAGAAGGG